AAGGCCAUCAAAUUUUCAGUCCACCGAGACCACCUCACUGUACGGACACGUCCAAAAUACUUUAAAAUCACAAAAAACCAAAAUCUAGUACACAACAACAUAUCAUCAUUACAAAAAACCUAACUGUACUUUCGGCUUAUUGACCGGCCCUAAAUAACCAGCUUAACCGGCCGGAAACCCGCCGGCCGGCGGUUUCUUUAUUUGCUGAUGUCAACAUCAGUGGGAUUAUUCUUUUUGGGCCUUGGUCUUGUCACUGUCAGGUCCAUUAGAGCAGCCCAUUUGGCCUUCUAUAAACCUCCUUCCAUUUUUACUUUCUUCAUCUCAUUUAAGUUACAACUAUUUUUUUCUUAUUUCUGCUCAAAAAUCUCUGUUUCAGUAUGCUGGGAAGUGAAAUACUUUUCAUGGUGAAAGUAAAACAUAAGAUUCUUCAAGAAAAUCUUGAAGUUAGGGUUAUACAAUCGUCCGCCGGCAUCGAGUUUGGAGCCGACAGUCACUUGAGAACGGCAGUGGUUUGUUCAUGUUAAUCGGGCGCUAUCCUAUCUGAGCUUUUUUCGACUUCUAUUUUUUUUUUUUUUGAUUUUUAAUCUUCUUGACCUUGUAAGACCUUUUCUUGACCUUGUAAGACCCCAUUCUCCUUAGAUUUUAAACUCUGUAUUAAUGCUUACGGAUACAGAGUUUAAAGUCGAAUUUUUCCUGUUUCCGCCCAACUCAUCUUCUCCUUCCUUGUCUAUCCCUCCUGAGCUAUUCGAUACUUAUCUCUCUCGUCCUUUAAAACCGUCCCAAUUAAACCUAAUACAGUUUUUGCUGCUGUGUAUAUGGUUUUUUUUUUCACUGUUUUUUUUUUCCAUGUAAGAUUAAGCAUGAGAAAUUGGAAGGUAUAAGUGAGAGAGAGUGGUUUGUUUUUUAUUUUUAGAGUAAGAAAAAAGAAGAAUUAGUGUUAUAUAAAUGUGCAGAAAUAUGGAGUUGCAGUGUUGUUGUAAUGGUGGGAAGUGAAUAAAAAGAAUAAAUAUUCUCUCA